CAGAUGGACAGUUUCCCUUGGGGCAGACAUUUACAGAUGCUUUCAUUCCAUCAGCGUAUGCAAUCACUAACAACCUUACCAGUUCGAGAAAAGACUCGACCGUGGUUCUUUGUCUCCUACAAUUACAGGCAAAUGUGUCUCCCAAGAUCAGAAUGGGGACUGCUUCCAGGAGUGUCCAGGGAGGAGAGCUGGCUGUAUUCCCUACGCAUUGAGUGGAGUUUCCAGAGACUACUUGAGCGGUGACAUCACGAGACGGAAUGAAGAAGCAGAAAUGAGCAUCCAGCUCUUCUAUUAAGCCAGACAUGAAAGAGACUCACAAAAACCAUAAAAUGACAGCUUUCUUUUCACGAUUUUUUUUAAAUUUUUAUUUAUUUAUUUAUUUA